AAACCGUUCAGGGGUAAACCUGAGAAACCCAAAAGAUCGAAUGGGGAGAUUCAUCGUCAGCUCAUUUUGUAUAUAUAUGAGUUAUGAUAUGGGUUACUACUUGUAGUAUUGCCUGUACAUUCUUUUAUAUUUUAUUGCAAGAUGUUGUCGGCGUGCACUUCUCCCCUAGUAGGACGUCGCGACCCGUUGAGUGUCGGUCUACGGCCCGAGUGGUAGCCUUUAAUUCUUGUAAUUAAAGACCCUUGGUGUUUCCUGACUGACUGCUCGGCGGUAUUCGUACGGUAUUAAGCCGCAUUUAUGCGUUCAUAUCCGUCGCAAGCGCGGUCAAUUUUUAGUAGUACGGACCUAGUGCCGUCGCUAUAAUUGAUCAGCUGUUGGUUGUACGGUAUUCUAGAACUGGCUUAACAUAUACCGGUCUGCGAUGCUACUGCUUUGGGUACUUUCAGGA
rnacentral:rRNA from 1 species